rnacentral:ncRNA from 1 species
ACAACGGCCCUUUUAAGGGCCAACCAUAUUUUUCAAAAAGAAUUU